CUGGUGUCGGGCCUUUUUUAUUUUAUUUUGUGACAGCUGCCAUCCAUUCCAUUAAACUAUACAGGAAAUGAAGUUUGGUGGUGGUUGGUUUUUUUCCUGCUGAGAGAAGAAAAUGAUCAAAAAGUUGGCAAGAUGGGAAGCAAGGAGCACAUUUGCAAACAGGGAACUCAACAGUGCCACAUCAAAAUAAGAGGGAAGAAAAUCCAGCAGCCAAGCAGGUCACCUGGCUUCCACAUAGGGAAAAACCUUUUCUCUGGCUGGAGCCCUGGCCACUGGACGGAGUGUCUUCUGAAACAGCC